UACGUAGGGUGCAAGCGUUGUCCGGAAUUAUUGGGCGUAAAGAGCUCGUAGGCGGUUUGUCGCGUCUGCUGUGAAAACCCGAGGCUCAACCUCGGGCCUGCAGUGGGUACGGGCAGACUAGAGUGUGGUAGGGGAGAUCGGAAUUCCUGGUGUAGCGGUGAAAUGCGCAGAUAUCAGGAGGAACACCGGUGGCGAAGGCGGAUCUCUGGGCCAUUACUGACGCUGAGGAGCGAAAGCGUGGGGAGCGAACAGG
rnacentral:rRNA from 1 species